UAAACAUAAAAGGUUGUCAUGACAGAUUAUCCCCUCGUCUCUCAAUGAUUUCCUAAUACCUAGGUAUGGAGUGAUUAUAAGAAUAAUACAAAGAGAAAAUGCUCCCAAAUUGCCUAAGGGGGCACAGUGAAUGGUUGAUGGUUCAGCCCUAAAAUGGAUAUGUCAGAUUGAAAGCUGCCGGUGAAUGCUAUAUAAUUGAUGUGAUGAGAUAUAGAAUCAGCAUGGAACAUGUGCCUCGUACGAGGAGCCAGCCCAAUCCAGCUAUACCAGCGUAUCCUGUACCCAGCAUCACGGACCAGGCCACUGCCUGCAAGUGCACCCCCGUGAAGGCAUAAAUUAUAAGUGUGCAUUUUGAUUGCUCGGUGAAGAAUACAUUUAGGAGAAAAGAUAAAUCAUACAUUUUGUUAUACUAUGCUGAUGUUUGCAAAUGUUACAUGAUACUACCUACUAAGAUAAAUAUGUUUUUUUGUAAAAUAAAGAAUAAAAAACUGUUAAACAGAA